CUGAUGCAGCCAUGCCGCGUGUGUGAAGAAGGCCUUCGGGUUGUAAAGCACUUUCAGUUGUGAGGAAAAGUUAGUAGUUAAUACCUGCUAGCCGUGACGUUAACAACAGAAGAAGCACCGGCUAACUCCGUGCCAGCAGCCGCGGUAAUACGGAGGGUGCGAGCGUUAAUCGGAAUUACUGGGCGUAAAGCGCACGCAGGCGGUUUGUUAAGCUAGAUGUGAAAGCCCCGGGCUCAACCUGGGAUGGUCAUUUAGAACUGGCAGACUAGAGUCUUGGAGAGGGGAGUGGAAUUCCAGGUGUAGCGGUGAAAUGCGUAGAUAUCUGGAGGAACAUCAGUGGCGAAGGCGACUCCCUGGCCAAAGACUGACGCUCAUGUGCGAAAGUGUGGGUAGCGAACAGGAUUAGAUACCCUGGUAGUCCACACCGUAAACGCUGUCUACUAGCUGUGUGUGCCUUUAAGNCGUGCGUAGCGAAGCUAACGCGCUAAGUAGACCGCCUGGGGAGUACGGCCGCAAGGUUAAAAC
rnacentral:rRNA from 1 species